AUCUAUGGCCCCGCCCCCCUGAACAUGCCUGAUCCCGUCUGAUCUCGGCAGCUGAGCAGGGUUGGGCCUGCUUAGUACUUGGAUGGGAGAUCACCUAGGAAGACCAGGUGCUGUAGGUG
rnacentral:rRNA from 1 species